rnacentral:tRNA from 1 species
GGACCCGUGGUGUAGCCCGGUUAACACGUCCCCCUGUCACGGGGAAGACCGCCGGUUCAAAUCCGGUCGGGUCCGCCU